rnacentral:lncRNA from 1 species
AAAAACAUUAAACAAAAAAAAUAAUUACAAAAAAAAUUUACCUUUCAAAAAAAUUUAUUGUUACCCUCUUACACCCUAAACCCUAAAUAAAAAAUAUAAUAAAUAUUAAAACCACAUAACAAUGUGUUGCCUCCUCCUUUAAGACCCUAAACAAAAAAUUACAAAAAUAAAACUUUACAUUUCAGGACCCUUCUUCUUUUCCCUUCUCUUCUCUAUUGCCUCUUCCCCUUCUUCUCUUCUCCUAAAUUGUUAGCUUCUUCUUCUUCUUAAUUUAUAGUUGAGGGGACCAUAAGCCCUCUUAUAAACUUCAUUUUUU